rnacentral:lncRNA from 1 species
UCCAACACUUGAUUCCACAAAACGGCCAAUGCACCUGUGUAGCCGUCAAGUCAAUGGCACUAAUUGACUUCGGAAAGGGACCUCGACGACCCUUCCAAUUCACUACUGGCAAGAUUUUUCGUCCUUUCACCAUCGUCUACACCAUGGGAACCUUUCAUCACCUCUUCGGCAAAUGAAAUCUCACUUUGGUAGCUACCAUCCC